GCCUAGUUAGCUUAGUUGGUAGUGCGUCUGCCUUGUAAGCGCUAGGCCGCAGGUUCGAUUCCUGCCCAGGUC
rnacentral:tRNA from 1 species